rfam:Ovis aries breed Texel chromosome 14, whole genome shotgun sequence.
UCCCUGGUGGCUCAGAUGGUAGAGAAUCUGCCUGCAAUGCAGGAGACCUGGGUUCGAUCUCUGGGUCAGGAAG